GACGAACGCUGGCGGCGUGCUUAACACAUGCAAGUGGAGCGACGAACCAGGCUUCGGCCUGGGGCAGAGCCGCGAACGGGUGAGUAACACGUGGGUAACGUGCCCCGAUGACCGGGACAACCCGGGGAAACCCGGGCUAAUACCGGAUGUGCUGUCCCCGCAUUAGUGGGGAUUGGAAAGGAAGCUUCGGCCUCCGCAUCGGGAUCGGCCCGCGGCCCAUUAGCUUGUUGGUGAGGUAACGGCUCACCAAGGCCGCGAUGGGUAGCUGGUCUGAGAGGACGAUCAGCCACACUGGGACUGAGACACGGCCCAGACUCCUACGGGAGGCAGCAGUGGGGAAUCUUGCGCAAUGCGCGAAAGCGUGACGCAGCAACGCCGCGUGGGGGAAGAAGGCCUUCGGGUUGUAAACCCCUUUCAGGAGGGACGAAGGUUGGGCGGUGAAUAGCCGACCUGACUGACGGUACCUCCAGAAGAAGCCCCGGCUAACUACGUGCCAGCCGCCGCCGUAAAAC
rnacentral:rRNA from 1 species